rnacentral:rRNA from 1 species
GUCGAGAAUCUUUCACAAUGGGGGCAACCCUGAUGGAGCGACGCCGCGUGGAGGAUAAGGUCUUCGGAUUGUAAACUCCUGUCAUGCGUGAACAAGGUUGCUUGGUUAAUACCUGGGCAAAUUGAUGGUAACGCAAGAGGAAGAGACGGCUAACUCUGUGCCAGCAGCCGCGGUAAUACAGAGGUCUCAAGCGUUGUUCGGAAUCACUGGGCGUAAAGGGUGCGUAGGUGGCGUGGUAAGUCAGAUGUGAAAGCCCGGGGCUCAACCUCGGAACUGCAUCCGAUACUGCCAUGCUAGAGUACUGGAGAGGUGACUAGAAUUCUCGGUGUAGCAGUGAAAUGCGGAGAUAUCGAGAGGAAUACCAAAGGCGUAGGCAGGUCACUGGACAGUUACUGACACUGAGGCACGAAGGCCAGGGGAGCGAACGGGAUUAGAAACCCCAGUAGUCC